rnacentral:ncRNA from 23 species
CUGACCUAUGAAUUGACAGCC